rnacentral:misc_RNA from 1 species
GAUGAAGAACGUAGCGAAAUGCGAUAAGUAAUGUGAAUUGCAGAAUUCAGUGAAUCAUCGAAUCUUUGCACGCACAUUGCGCCCCUUGGUAUUCCGAGGGGCAUGCCUGUUCGAGCGUCAUUAUAACCCCUCAAGCUCAGCUUGGUGUUGGGGCCUGCUGCACUGGCAGCCCUUAAAAUCAGUGGCGGCGCCAUCUGGCUCUAAGCGUAGUAAUUCUUCUCGCUAUGGAGUCCUGGUGGAUGCUUGCCAUCAACCCCCAAUUUUUCUAUGGUUGACCUCGGAUCAGGUAGGGAUACCCGCUGAACUUAAGCAUAUCAAUAAGCGGAGGA